CAUUGUUCUGAUACCUUCAGAUCAGCCAUUAGAAAGGAAAGAUCAGCGAAAUCUUUUGGAUCUGAUCAACUUAAUAUAGGAACUACUGAUUUCAUUUUGUUUAGCCCAAUUCUCUGAAACAAUGAAGUAUACAAGUUCUUUCUGGACUUUUCAGUUCUGCAUCAUU
rfam:Fukomys damarensis contig130961, whole genome shotgun sequence.